rnacentral:sRNA from 1 species
UGUAGCUUGCCGAAGUAUAUCACACUGUAUUAGCCCUCAAGCCACAGUCCGGCAGAUAGAUCCUAAUUACAGCCACGGCUGGUAUUGUCCCCUUUACUUCCUCCCCCAACUCAACCUAUACUUGCCCGACGAAAAAUCUAGUUCAACAUCCACUACUUCUAUCAUCGUAUCGUCUUGAAUCUGACACCGCACACCAUAAUUUUUUUCAAACAGAUGAUGUUUUGUGGGCUGAGUUUUCUGUCUUCCGUUCCUGCCUUGAAGCUACCUCUUUUUGUUGGGUAUGGGCGUGCGGAGGGAACCCAGCAGAUAGAACAUCAUAGUGCAUCUGGAACAAUGGCCAUAAUGGUGGUCUUUCAUGUCUUCCCAGCUGGCAGCACGGCAUGCGCGAUGUUUAUGAAUGAACAAUCCUUAAUUGAUCGACCACAUAGGGGGCCUCUCUCUUCUAUUAACGCACUACUAUUGUACUCCUUGUAUCUUCUCAUUCGAGCAUAGGACCCUUGGAUUACUUCAGCAGACCCCUCGA